GCAACAGCUGCAAGCCUGGGGAGCAUAAGGUGCUGUGGAGACAGUAGAAAAGUGAGGGAGUGCAAGUAAUGCUGCAGUGAAGAGACAUGUUUUGGAGGCCCAGAAGAAAGAGAAAAAAGAUGGAGGGAAAUUUGAAGCUGUGGUGUAAAUGGGGAAGAAAUGGCAACAGCAGAAGAAGGUUUCUUUCUCCUCCUGCACAGUAAGGCAGACAUCAUCCCAUGUCUGGAUCACAGCACUUUGCGUGCUCCCACAGGAUAGCCUAUGUUUCCUCCUAUAUUUUUUGAGAGGAUCGGCUGUCUCCCACCAGGGGGGUGAUGAAACAGGCAUUAUUCUUCUUCUUGUUGAGUGGUCGUCAGUAAAAUCACCCUGCAGGCUCCAUGAAAGCAAAUAAAGCAGCACUCAUCUAGGUACUCGUGCAGCUCAUCCUACUCCUCAAUGCAUCCAAGAUCUUCUGAGAUAAACAGCCAGAUCAGAAAGGUGAGAUUUGAACAUAGACUCUCACGCAGGAAAGAUCAAGGGUCAUACGAAUCUUCCACUAGAGCAACUUCCAUUAUCUCAGUCAGGAUGAAGGAGAAAGUGAAGCUCUGACAUUGCCAGUGUUAUGCAGAUUGUGUUUUCAUAGAUUUUUCUUUUGAGAGCGCAUUGACUUGCCAAACCUCUGAAGUGACAUGUGAUUUGGAGAUAAAUUUCCAUAUGAUGUUUAAACCUUGCUACUGUCACAGUUCACUUGUCAUUUGUACAAGGAAUUUACAUUAAAUGGAAAUUUCAUCAAUGUGUAGAGUUACUACUCUCUAGAGAUUACCUCCCUGCAGAUCUCUCUUCCCAAUCAACUUUUAACUCUUUCACAGUGGCAGAUAUAACAGCUAAUCUGGAGGCUACUUAAUGGGAUUUUUGAAGUUCUCGAUAUCUCUGAUACGUUUGUGUUAUAGAAACAACAUUCUUUGCCUGGGCAAUUGCUCAUGGUGCCUUGGAGCCUGAGUACUCACCUUUUUGUUGUUCUUGUUAACGCUCUCAUUUCAUCUUUCCUAGAUGUUCAGUAAAAGCAUUUAUUAUGUUUUGACCUAAUUUGAUUUUGAUUUUACAUUAAGGUUGAUUUGGAUAUUGCAGGAUUCCUUUUGCUGAAGUGGACUGGAUGUUUUAACAAUAAUAAUACUGAGUGGCAAAAUAAGUAUUUUCUUGGAUGGGUUCUUUGUAA